rnacentral:lncRNA from 1 species
CUCCCCUGUACGUUCAAGGCGUCGCAAUCAAUACAAUGUACGAAGUUCCAACCAGGAACACAUUUCAACCAAAGAUUGCAUAAGGAAGUAUCAAAAACAUAAAUCUACUUGCUAUUACAAGCAUUCAUCUCACAUACUACAUUUUACAUUCCACAUUACACUCUUUUACAUUGAUCCUCAACUUCCAAUUAUACAAUCAAGUUCUUAACAUACUUAUUACAACAUUGUUCUUACAAUUAUCACAUUUUUGGUUCUUUGCAUUUUAUACCCCUAAGGAGCCGACUCAGGGUGCUGCUAUCUGGUCUCAGUGGUAGGGCGCUAACUACGGAGCUACGCCCUUUCCUCGCGCCGCCGCGCCGCUCACGUGUGAACCUGUAAUACCCCGAAACAACGUGGGGUGAGAACUAACUCCAUAGUUCCCAGUGGGUACGGCCACCCAAGGGAAGAGCUCGACCAUCAGGUCAAAGGAGGCAAACAACAUGUUAGUCCAUUAGAUAGAUAUGAAAUCAUAAAUCAUGCAACUAACAUUACCAUGCUUUUGCCUCACAACAUGCAAUAUGCAAAUUAUGCAACUCAUAUAGUAGAUUAAUUGCUUCUACACUUUAUUCUUAUCCAUUCUUUACUUUUACUCAUUCUUUACUUUACUAGCUAUUCUUUAGCAUUAACCCUUCUUUAUUCUUUAUUACUUGUUAUUCUUUAGCAUUAGCCUUUUCUUAUUCUUAAUUCUUUAUUCUUUAUUCUUUACGCUUUACUAAGGGUACUCACACCUUAGUAAUAUUACACACAUUAGCCUUUCUUUCCUAAGGUUACUUUACCUUAGCCAACUUUGCCAUCCGACUCGGUCUUGAGUCAAUCAACUGCGGAUAGUCCGCGCUCUGUCCGGCUCGAGGUGAAGGAACUCACACAUGCACCUCAGCCCUCAAUCACAAACCACAUCGCCCAACGGGUCGCCCAGAGCUGCGUACACCGUGGUCAGGGAUCCCCCGGUGGGAGAGGAACAUGCCGCAUACACCCGCAGCCGAGAUCCCCGAUAGGGAGAGGAACAUGCCACAUGCACCCUAGCGCUCAUUGUUCUUGCUCAUUGACAAGCCUCGAAGUUCUUCCGGUGGGAGAGGAACAUGCCACAUGCACCCGCGGCCAAGAACUAUCGAGCUUGUAUGCUGCACUAGCAGCCGCUGCACUAGCAGCCGCUGCACUAGCAGCCGCUGCACUAGCAGCAGGGAUUCCGGAAUCCACUUUACAUUACUCAAGGGUUGGUCUCACCCUAUGUUAUCGACCUAUCUAGGUCCAAGUCUUUACUCAACCUAAGUUAAUACAUUAGGUUCAAUGUCAUUAUCUUCUUAGCCUAGGUUCAUUGACACUAGGUCCAACAUUCUUUA